rnacentral:rRNA from 1 species
GAAUAUUUGAGUAGUAAUAGUUAAGGUCUUGAAACUCAAAGAAUUUGGCGGUGUUUUAGUCCUUUCAGAGGAAUCUGUUCUAUAAUUGAUAAUACACGAUUUAUUAUACUUUUUCUGGUAAUCAAUUUGUAUACCGCCGUCAUAAGAUUAUCUUGUAGAGGGUUAAAAAUUUCUUUAUUUUUGAUUAAUAAGGAUGUCAGGUCAAGGUGCAGUAUAUGGGAAAGUUAGAAAUGGGUUACAAUAAUGAUAAUUAUAUGAAUAUUUAUAUAUAAUAGAUAAAUUGAAGGUGGAUUUGAUUGUAAAUUUAAUAUAUAAUAUUAAGUUGAUUAGGGCUCUAGAAUGUGCACACAUCGCCCGUCGCUCUCGUAUAUUAUAUGAG